UACAGAGGGUGCGAGCGUUAAUCGGAUUUACUGGGCGUAAAGCGUGCGUAGGCGGCUGAUGAAGUCGGAUGUGAAAUCCCUGAGCUUAACUUAGGAAUUGCAUUCGAUACUGGUCAGCUAGAGUAUGGGAGAGGAUGGUAGAAUUCCAGGUGUAGCGGUGAAAUGCGUAGAGAUCUGGAGGAAUACCGAUGGCGAAGGCAGCCAUCUGGCCUAAUACUGACGCUGAGGUACGAAAGCAUGGGGAGCAAACAGG
rnacentral:rRNA from 1 species